UUACUUCCUGCCAAAGACACAGGCCUUUUAAUCUGUUACCGGUCAAUCGAUGAACGAUACUCGAAGAGUCCUGGAUUGUCAACCCAGUCUCUCAUUAAUAUUGUACAAUAUGUACAAAUUGUAAUGCCUUGAUACAGUUUUCCCAUUUUCUUCGCAGCCUGAAACAGCUGUGACACGAGAACAGCCAAGGCGAAGGUCGAUAGCCAUGUGUCACAAACACAACCCAGCCAAGCCGCACUGCACGCUUAAAACGGGAAUGUACACGACCAUGUCAACGUGCAUGUGCCCGGGCCGCCACAGGAGUCGCUAGCGCACGAUGGGACAAGGACAUCCCGGCCGGCCAAACCCUCCCCCAACCCAGGCGAUUGGGGCCAAUUGUGCGGCGCCUCAUGGGUCUCCCGGUCGCGACACAGCCCGGUAUCGAACCAGGAUCUUUAGUAACGCAGCUAGCACAGCCUUAGACCGCUGCGCCACUCGAGAGGCCCGAAUCCACUCAUUUGAAGGGGUGUCCACAUACUUUGCCACCUUAUGGGCACGUUUUACCAGACCAUCCACAUGCUUGGGCAUGGGAUCAAACCUGUCUACGCUUUUGAUGGCAAGCCCCCACAGCUGAAGUCACAAGAGGGGAGCAGGAGAACAUUGACAAGUUCACUAAGCGGCUGGUGAAAGUUACCCGGCAGCACAACGACGAGUGCAAGAAGAUGCUCACCCUAAUGGGGGUGCCAUACAUCAAGGCUCCAUGUGAGGCAGAGGCGAGCUGCACUGCUCUGGUUAAGGCGGUAGUCGCCACGGCAACAGAAGAUACGGACAGCCUGACAUUUGGAGCAGGGGUCCUACUGAGGCACCUCACCCCCAGCGACGCAGAGUACUACUGCAGUUUAUAUACCACCUUACCCAUCUUUCAUCCCAGUCAUACAGUUUAUCUAACAGUAUUAUAACAAUAGAAGCUGUGUGUGUGUUGUAUAUUUUGUUUUUGAGGUUACUUGUAACAUUUCUGUUUCUCUAUCUUAGGAAGCUUCCUAUCCAUCUGUGAGUUCACCUGUGUUGUGACUGUCAAACUUUGUAAGAGUUUGUAAUCCCAAUUCUCCAUUGUUUAAUUUGCUCCUCUUAAACACACACAUGCACGACAGUCCCACAUAAUAAGCAGUCCCUAGUUUGAGAUCCAAACCGUCACGCAGCAGUUAUCCUAUUCCCAGAAGUCAGUGUGAGUGUUUGUCUCCUUGGCCCCUUGCAGAAGCACCCUGCCCCAGAGUACUGCCUGUAUAAGGAGUCCAGAGGUCUGUUCCUGCAGCCUGACAUUGUGGACUGUUCCACAGUAACCUCAAGUGGAGCGAGCCCAACAAGGACACCCUUAUCCAGUUCAUGUGUGCAGAGAAACAGUUCAGUGAGGACUGCAUCAAGAACAGCUGUAAGAAGAUGAUGAAGAGCCGACAAGGCAGCACACCGGGAUGACUGGACUCUAUUCACCAUCAUUGGCUCUCUGAGAGAGAAACCUAUACAUAUUCAAUGCAUUUCAGUGCCUUUAAACAGGGUAUAGUAGUAGGUGCCAGGCACACCGGUUUGAGUGUGUCAAGAACUGCAACGCUGCUGGGUUUUUCACACUCAACAGUUUCCUGUGUGUAUCAAGGACAUUCAGCCAACUUGACACAACUGUGGGAAGCAUUGGAGUCAACAUUCAACUCAAUAUUAGGAAGAUGUUUAGUACACUCAGUGUAUACCAUACCUCAUCUAUGUUUGAUUUAUAAAAAACAUUGUCCACACCAUACUGUAUCCAUAUUAAAAUAAUUCUCGCUACUUCCUCCUUUUUAUUUAGGAAUAGACUUCAAAGAGGAAGUCAAGCAAGGAAAGAGGAAGUUGAGGAGUGUGCGUGAUAAUUAGACAACUACAAUUACAGUGUCUAGCCAAGUCUGUUCUUCAUGUUGAAAAUGUGAGAAUGGGGUAGUGGUUAACGUAUUCCAAUUAAACUAGCAAGUUUUAUUAACAUGCUUUUUUCUUGAAUAAAAGUAAUAGGGAAUUUUGUA